rfam:Trichobilharzia regenti genome assembly, scaffold: TRE_scaffold0004302
GUACUGAUGAAGAGUCCAAAACUUGGACGAAACAGCUGCCCAGUAC